rnacentral:rRNA from 1 species
ACUAAGCGUACACGGUGGAUGCCCUGGCAGUCAGAGGCGAUGAAGGACGUGCUAAUCUGCGAUAAGCGUCGGUAAGGUGAUAUGAACCGUUAUAACCGGCGAUUUCCGAAUGGGGAAACCCAGUGUGAUUCGUCACACUAUCAUUAACUGAAUCCAUAGGUUAAUGAGGCGAACCGGGGGAACUGAAACAUCUAAGUACCCCGAGGAAAAGAAAUCAACCGAGAUUCCCCCAGUAGCGGCGAGCGAACGGGGAGCAGCCCAGAGCCUGAAUCAGUGUGUGUGUUAGUGGAAGCGUCUGGAAAGGCGCGCGAUACAGGGUGACAGCCCCGUACACAAAAAUGCACAUGCUGUGAGCUCGAUGAGUAGGGCGGGACACGUGGUAUCCUGUCUGAAUAUGGGGGGACCAUCCUCCAAGGCUAAAUACUCCUGACUGACCGAUAGUGAACCAGUACCGUGAGGGAAAGGCGAAAAGAACCCCGGCGAGGGGAGUGAAAAAGAACCUGAAACCGUGUACGUACAAGCAGUGGGAGCACGCUUAGGCGUGUGACUGCGUACCUUUUGUAUAAUGGGUCAGCGACUUAUAUUCUGUAGCAAGGUUAACCGAAUAGGGGAGCCGAAGGGAAACCGAGUCUUAACUGGGCGUUAAGUUGCAGGGUAUAGACCCGAAACCCGGUGAUCUAGCCAUGGGCAGGUUGAAGGUUGGGUAACACUAACUGGAGGACCGAACCGACUAAUGUUGAAAAAUUAGCGGAUGACUUGUGGCUGGGGGUGAAAGGCCAAUCAAACCGGGAGAUAGCUGGUUCUCCCCGAAAGCUAUUUAGGUAGCGCCUCGUGAAUUCAUCUCCGGGGGUAGAGCACUGUUUCGGCAAGGGGGUCAUCCCGACUUACCAACCCGAUGCAAACUACGAAUACCGGAGAAUGUUAUCACGGGAGACACACGGCGGGUGCUAACGUCCGUCGUGAAGAGGGAAACAACCCAGACCGCCAGCUAAGGUCCCAAAGUCAUGGUUAAGUGGGAAACGAUGUGGGAAGGCCCAGACAGCCAGGAUGUUGGCUUAGAAGCAGCCAUCAUUUAAAGAAAGCGUAAUAGCUCACUGGUCGAGUCGGCCUGCGCGGAAGAUGUAACGGGGCUAAACCAUGCACCGAAGCUGCGGCAGCGACGCUGAUGCGUUGUUGGGUAGGGGAGCGUUCUGUAAGCCUGCGAAGGUGUGCUGUGAGGCAUGCUGGAGGUAUCAGAAGUGCGAAUGCUGACAUAAGUAACGAUAAAGCGGGUGAAAAGCCCGCUCGCCGGAAGACCAAGGGUUCCUGUCCAACGUUAAUCGGGGCAGGGUGAGUCGACCCCUAAGGCGAGGCCGAAAGGCGUAGUCGAUGGGAAACAGGUUAAUAUUCCUGUACUUGGUGUUACUGCGAAGGGGGGACGGAGAAGGCUAUGUUGGCCGGGCGACGGUUGUCCCGGUUUAAGCGUGUAGGCUGGUUUUCCAGGCAAAUCCGGAAAAUCAAGGCUGAGGCGUGAUGACGAGGCACUACGGUGCUGAAGCAACAAAUGCCCUGCUUCCAGGAAAAGCCUCUAAGCAUCAGGUAACAUCAAAUCGUACCCCAAACCGACACAGGUGGUCAGGUAGAGAAUACCAAGGCGCUUGAGAGAACUCGGGUGAAGGAACUAGGCAAAAUGGUGCCGUAACUUCGGGAGAAGGCACGCUGAUAUGUAGGUGAAGUGAUUUACUCAUGGAGCUGAAAUCAGUCGAAGAUACCAGCUGGCUGCAACUGUUUAUUAAAAACACAGCACUGUGCAAACACGAAAGUGGACGUAUACGGUGUGACGCCUGCCCGGUGCCGGAAGGUUAAUUGAUGGGGUUAGCGCAAGCGAAGCUCUUGAUCGAAGCCCCGGUAAACGGCGGCCGUAACUAUAACGGUCCUAAGGUAGCGAAAUUCCUUGUCGGGUAAGUUCCGACCUGCACGAAUGGCGUAAUGAUGGCCAGGCUGUCUCCACCCGAGACUCAGUGAAAUUGAACUCGCUGUGAAGAUGCAGUGUACCCGCGGCAAGACGGAAAGACCCCGUGAACCUUUACUAUAGCUUGACACUGAACAUUGAGCCUUGAUGUGUAGGAUAGGUGGGAGGCUUUGAAGUGUGGACGCCAGUCUGCAUGGAGCCGACCUUGAAAUACCACCCUUUAAUGUUUGAUGUUCUAACGUUGACCCGUAAUCCGGGUUGCGGACAGUGUCUGGUGGGUAGUUUGACUGGGGCGGUCUCCUCCUAAAGAGUAACGGAGGAGCACGAAGGUUGGCUAAUCCUGGUCGGACAUCAGGAGGUUAGUGCAAUGGCAUAAGCCAGCUUGACUGCGAGCGUGACGGCGCGAGCAGGUGCGAAAGCAGGUCAUAGUGAUCCGGUGGUUCUGAAUGGAAGGGCCAUCGCUCAACGGAUAAAAGGUACUCCGGGGAUAACAGGCUGAUACCGCCCAAGAGUUCAUAUCGACGGCGGUGUUUGGCACCUCGAUGUCGGCUCAUCACAUCCUGGGGCUGAAGUAGGUCCCAAGGGUAUGGCUGUUCGCCAUUUAAAGUGGUACGCGAGCUGGGUUUAGAACGUCGUGAGACAGUUCGGUCCCUAUCUGCCGUGGGCGCUGGAGAACUGAGGGGGGCUGCUCCUAGUACGAGAGGACCGGAGUGGACGCAUCACUGGUGUUCGGGUUGUCAUGCCAAUGGCACUGCCCGGUAGCUAAAUGCGGAAGAGAUAAGUGCUGAAAGCAUCUAAGCACGAAACUUGCCCCGAGAUGAGUUCUCCCUGACUCCUUGAGAGUCCUGAAGGAACGUUGAAGACGACGACGUUGAUAGGCCGGGUGUGUAAGCGCAGCGAUGCGUUGAGCUAACCGGUACUAAUGAACCGUGAGGCUUAACC